UACACAUCCAAGAACACAAGCUGAAACGCAAGAUGAUAAAGAUUUACGAAAAGCUGUGUGAGCUAAAGAGCUGCAGCACCCUGACGGGCCGAGUCAUUGAGCAGAGGAUCCGCUACAAUAGCACUCGUUACCCUGAGAUCAACAAGAAG